AUUGAACGCUGGCGGCGUGCCUAAUACAUGCAAGUCGAACGCAGUGGGGACGGGUGAGUAACACGUGGGUAACCUCCCAUCAGAGGGGAGAACACUUGGAAACAGGUGCUAAACCGAUACAGAUGGAUGGACCCGCGGUGCAUUAGCUAGUUGGUGAGGUAACGGCCCACCAAGGCCACGAUGCAUAGCCGACCUGUGAGGUGUCUCGGCCACACUGGGACGUAGACCCGGCCCAUACUCCUACGUGAGGCAGCAGUAGGGAAUCUUCGGCAAUGGGCGAAAGUCUGACCGAGCAACGCCGCGUGAGUGAAGAAGGUUUUCGGUUCGUAAAACUCUGUUGUUGGGGAAGCGGUAUCUAACCAGAAAGCCACGGCUAACUACGUGCCAGCAGCCGCGGUAAUUC
rnacentral:rRNA from 1 species